GAAAUAUAUUUAUUUUAAACUUCUAAUUUAAAAAAUAGUGACUAUAAACUCAUUAAUAUUUCU
rnacentral:tRNA from 1 species